rnacentral:rRNA from 1 species
AGCGAACGCUGGCGGCAGGCCUAACACAUGCAAGUCGAACGAACCUUUCGGGGUUAGUGGCGGACGGGUGAGUAACACGUGGGAACGUGCCUUUAGGUUCGGAAUAACUCAGGGAAACUUGUGCUAAUACCGAAUGUGCCCUUCGGGGGAAAGAUUUAUCGCCUUUAGAGCGGCCCGCGUCUGAUUAGCUAGUUGGUUGAGGUAAUGGCUCACCAAGGCGACGAUCAGUAGCUGGUCUGAGAGGAUGAUCAGCCACAUUGGGACUGAAACACGGCCCAAACUCCCUACGGAGGCAGGCGGGGGGAAACCUGGGGCAAUGGGGGAAGGCUGAAGCCGCCAAGGCGGGUGAAUUGUGGAGGUUUUAGGAUUGUAAAAUUCUUUCACCGGGGACGAUAAUGACGGUACCCGGAGAAGAAGCCCCGGCUAACUUCGUG